GCCAAGUUUAACUUUACGGGCUGAUUUCUACAGCUGGGGAAUGAGGGCAACACAUACAUUGUUGGACCUCGAGACAAACUCUUCUGUUUGAGGACAUAUAGAUAUAUAACAUGUUCUAAAAUUCUGGAGAAACCGUAAACUUUGUAUUGUUUCUCACCAAGAACCGUCAGGAACCACAUAGCUCAAAGGGUAACAGUACUUACCACAGGAGGAUUGCACAAUUCAGUAAAUAUGAAUUAACAUGGAAUCUUGAUCCUUCACCUCCAAACCAAAGGGGUCAUUCAAAGACUAGGGGUCAUCCAGAGACAAGGGGUCAUCCAGAGACAAGGGGGUCAUCAAAAUACAAGGGCCAUCCAAAGACAACUGUGUGAUGGUUCAUUUAUAAAGCUCAAAUGGUAUUGACAUAGCCAUCUAGAAACCUGGUGGUGGUGUCGGGCUUCAGUCUUUAAACAAUUUACAACUGCAUCUGAAUGACAUUUUAUAGGUAGAUUUUGUUUGUGACUUUUCCAACACGUUUCAUCUAAACCAUUAUUCUUACUAAAUGUAUAACGAAUGGGUUCUCAAUAAAUGCAUAACAAAUUGAUAUGAAUAGAUUUAAAAUACAGCAAUUUUAAUGAAUAUAUUUUGAAAAC